UACACGACCGUACCGCAAACCGACACUGGUGCGCGAGAUGAGUAUUCUAAGGCGCUUGAGAGAACUCAGGAGAAGGAACUCGGCAAAUUGACACCGUAACUUCGGAAGAAGGUGUGCCUUUAGUAGGUGAACCUGUACAAGGGGAGCCCAAUGAGGUUGCAAAAAAUCGGUGGCUGCGACUGUUUAAUAAAAACACAGCACUCUGCAAACACGAAAGUGGACGUAUAGGGUGUGACGCCUGCCCGGUGCUGGAAGAUUAAAUGAUGGGGUGCAAGCUCUUGAUUGAAGUCCCAGUAAACGGCGGCCGUAACAAUAACGGUCCUAAGGUAGCGAAAUUCCUUGUCGGGUAAGUUCCGACCUGCACGAAUGGCGUGACGAUGGCCACACUGUCUCCUCCUGAGACUCAGCGAAGUUGAAAUGUUUGUGAUGAUGCAAUCUCCCCGCGGAAAGACGGAAAGACCCCAUGAACCUUUACUGUAGCUUUGUAUUGGACUUUGAACAGAUCUGUGUAGGGUAGGUGGGAGGCUUUGAAGUGUGGUCGCUAGAUCGCAUGGAGCCAACGUUGAAAUACCACCCUGGUGUGUUUGAGGUUCUAACCUAGGCCCGUAAUCCGGGUCGGGGACAGUGCAUGGUAGGCAGUUUGACUGGGGCGGUCUCCUCCCAAAGCGUAACGGAGGAGUUCGAAGGUACGCUAGGUACGGUCGGACAUCGUGCUAAUAGUGCAAUGGCAUAAGCGUGCUUAACUGCGAGACUGACAAGUCGAGCAGAUGCGAAAGCAGGACAUAGUGAUCCGGUGGUUCUGUAUGGAAGGGCCAUCGCUCAACGGAUAAAAGGUACUCUGGGGAUAACAGGCUGAUACCGCCCAAGAUUUCAUAUCGACGGCGGUGUUUGGCACCUCGAUGUCGGCUCAUCUCAUCCUGGGGCUGUAGCCGGUCCCAAGGGUAUGGCUGUUCCCCAUUUAAAGAGGUACGUGAGCUGGGUUUAAAACGUCGUGAGACAGUUUGGUCCCUAUCUUCCGUGGGCGCUGCAGAUUUGAGGAAGCCUGCUCCUAGUACGAGAGGACCGGAGUGGACACACCUCUGGUGUAUCGGUUGUCACGCCAGUGGCAUUGCCGAGUAGCUAUGUGUGGAAGAGAUAACCGCUGAAAGCAUCUAAGCGGGAAACUCGUUUCAAGAUGAGAUCUGCCGGGGCCUUGAGCCCCCUAAAGAGUCGUUCAAGACCAGGACGUUGAUAGGUCGGGUGUGGAAGCGCAGUAAUGCGUUAAGCUAACCGAUACUAAUUGCUUGUGCAGCUUGACC
rnacentral:rRNA from 1 species